rnacentral:rRNA from 1 species
AUUGAACGCUGGCGGCAUGCCUUACACAUGCAAGUCGAACGGUAACAGGUUAAGCGGUCGCGUGUCGAACUGGCGAGUAAUGUAUCGGAACGUGCUCAGUCGUAGUGGAUAACUUCUCGAAAGAGCAGCUAGGGCCGCAUACGACCUUACGGUGUAAGCGGUGCAUGGCAAAGCCGCGCGCGAUCGGAGCGUCCGAGAUCGGAUGAGCUAGUUGGCGAGGUACAGGCUCACCAAGGCGACGAUCUGUAGCUGGUCUGAGAGGAUGACCAGCCACACUGGGACUGAGACACGGUCCAGACUCCUACGGGAGGCAGCAGUGGGGAAUAUUGGACAAUGGGCGCAAGCCUGAUCCAGCCAUACCGCGUGGGUGAAGAAGGCCUUCGGGUUGUAAAGCCCUUUUGUUGGGAAAGAAAAGCAGCAGGUUAAUACCCCGCUGUUCUGACGGUACCCAAAGAAUAAGCACCGGCUAACUUCGUG